rnacentral:rRNA from 1 species
UUUGAAAUCUGGCGUGCUCAGUGCGUCCGAUUUGUAAUCUAUAGAGUCGUUUUCCGUGCCGGACUGUGUCCAAGUCCCUUGGAACAGGGUAUCAAAGAGGGUGAUAAUCCCGUACUUGACACAAUGACCGGUGCUCUGUGAUACGUCUUCUACGAGUCGAGUUGUUUGGGAAUGCAGCUCAAAAUGGGUGGUGAGUUCCAUCUAAAGCUAAAUAUUGGCGAGAGACCGAUAGCGAACAAGUACCGUGAGGGAAAGAUGAAAAGCACUUUGGAAAGAGAGUUAAACAGUACGUGAAAUUGUUAAAAGGGAAACGAUUGAAGUCAGUCGUGACUGAGAGGCUCAGCCGGUUCUGCCGGUGUAUUCCCCUCAGUCGGGUCAACAUCAGUUUUGUUCGGUGGAUAAGGGCAGUUGGAAGGUGGCACCCUCGGGUGUGUUAUAGCCAGCUGUCGCAUACAUCGGAUGAGACUGAGGAAUGCAGCUCGCCUUUAUGGCCGGGGUUCGCCCACGUUCGAGCUUAGGAUGUUGACAUAAUGGCUUUAAACGAC